UAUUUUCAACAGCUACAUCAACAGAAAGAUGCUUGAGUAAAUGGGUCCGUUUGCUCCAAGAGCCACCAAGUGUGAAACUUCCUCUCAGACUGAGGUCAAGUCCCUCCCCCUCCAGGAACACUUCAGCUGAGGGAAUGCAGUUAAACUGCUUUGCUUAAUUAGUCAGUUUAUCUGAAUUUAGGAUGGAGUUGUACUAUAAAAGAGAGUUAGCAUUGCUUAAGAGGAAAGGCUGAUGAUUUAGUGGAAGAGUGUGUAAGAGAAAGGAUGGCAGCCUGAAUUAAAACUAUAGGUCUAUAGGAGCACAGUGCUGAGACUCCCACACCAGUGCUGUGAGUUGGUGCAACCCCCAGCCCAGUGGAAGUGAACCUCCUUUUCCUUGCUGCAUGCUGGGUAGCAUCAUCAGGACAGGAUGGAGCAGUAUCUUUUCUGGCCUCCUAUCUCCCCUAGUUUGAACCUGAUCUAUGCAAGAGCUAGAGGAAAGGGAAUGAUUUUCCAGUAGUGCUAGACUGUUCCCACAAAGAAUGUCUGCUGUCACUGUACUCACAGAAGGUUUCUGAGCUGUAAAUCCAAAGCCAAACGAAUUACUUGAUUACAAGAGGCAAACUCAGUGCCAUGCUCUGUGACUCGCUGUCCAUGGCAUACACUCUUCUUUUAAAAAUCUGCAGUGACCUGAGACAAAAUCUCUGGCAAACUCUUCAUGGCUCAGCCACAGUCCUGAAAACUUAGCACAGCAGUUCAGUGCUUACUGAAAAAAUUGUCAAUGUUUUAGAAUAAUUCUUCAGCAUGCCCAUCAGGAGCUUCCAGCAGGAUGAGAUCUAAAUGUAUUUCAUGACUAUCUGUGACUUGUCCUUUCUCUUGUUUGUUGUUCUCACCUUAUGUUCUUCACUCAAAGUGCCUUAAACUCCCUGCUAAGGAACUAUUUAUCUCCUGGAUAGUGAAGUGGAAUGCUAAUCCUGGGGCUUGUAGUCACUACUAUGUAAAUAUUUAAUAUCAGUGAUAAUGGCUCUUUGGGAAAAAGGUUGUAUUGCCCAUAAGUGUUACUGGCACUGCUAUUACUGUUCCCUGGA